AUUGAACGCUGGCGGCAGGCCUAACACAUGCAAGUCGAGCGGAUGAAGGGAGCUUGCUCCUGGAUUCAGCGGCGGACGGGUGAGUAAUGCCUAGGAAUCUGCCUGGUAGUGGGGGAUAACGUCCGGAAACGGGCGCUAAUACCGCAUACGUCCUGAGGGAGAAAGUGGGGGAUCUUCGGACCUCACGCUAUCAGAUGAGCCUAGGUCGGAUUAGCUAGUUGGUGGGGUAAAGGCCUACCAAGGCGACGAUCCGUAACUGGUCUGAGAGGAUGAUCAGUCACACUGGAACUGAGACACGGUCCAGUCUCCUACGGGAGGCAGCAGUGGGGAAUAUUGGACAAUGGGCGAAAGCCUGAUCCGGCCAUGCCGCGUGUGUGAAGAAGGUCUUCGGAUUGUAAAGCACUUUAAGUUGGGAGGAAGGGCAGUAAGUUAAUACCUUGCUGUUUUGACGUUACCAACAGAAUAAGCACCGGCUAACUUCGUG
rnacentral:rRNA from 1 species